CCGCUUGAAUUAGGCACUUUUGGCAGCAUGUGCAUUUGGGAGAGGCCCAAGGAUGAGCAAGACUGAAGCUAUAAUAGAUGACAUGUCAGACUGGAAGUACUUGGAAUGUGUGGGAAGAGACAGUUGUGAAUAUUGUUUCAACUUUUAAUAAACAGUUUUUGUGUGUAUGGAGAAAACAACAUUUGCUGAUAAAAAAUCUAAAUCUAAGCCGAGAGCUUGUGAAGUGCUCAGAUUCUAUGGUAAGGGGGC